UUUUUUUUUUUUUUUUUUUUUUUUUUUUUUUUUUUUUUUUUAAUUUGGCAUAGAAUAUUAUCACAAAAAUAGA
rnacentral:ribozyme from 1 species